GCUUAGGUGGUAGAGCACAAAGCUCUUAACCUUGUGGACGUGGGUUCAAGCCCCAU
rnacentral:tRNA from 1 species